rnacentral:lncRNA from 10 species
GGGUGAGUGCCGGGAGCUCUGAGGGUUGAAGUUUCUGCAGACCUAAAAAGCAGUUUGAAAACUGGCAGUUCCCAGCCUCUAAAACCCGGGGGUAGCAGGAGGCAGAGAGUACCCCGGGGCCAGAUCCUGGAGCCUCAUUGUCCCUUCAAAUCACCUUCCGUUUCUCUAAGGGAGAAAUAAACCUUGAAAAGCCAUGGGCUUUUCAGAUGUAUCUAGAUGUAUCUGAUGCUUUUCAGGUGUAUCUAGACUCCCAUCCAGCGUGCUUUCUGCAAAACUUACUGAACCAUAGCCCAGAAUGGCCAUCCAUGAUGCCCACCCGCCUUGUCUCCUGAAGCACAUUGCCAGGUGGACCUGCACAUGGUGUGGACGGCAGACAGACUGGGGCUCUCAACAACUGGUAUUUGCUGGAUGACCAUGAACUAACCAUUCAAUUUCUCGAAACUUUGGUUUCUCGUCUGUAAAAUGAACAUAUGCAAAUCUAUCCUACAAAGUGUGUUUUGUGGAUUGAAUGAGAUGAUACACGCCCA